rnacentral:rRNA from 1 species
AGAGUUUGAUCCUGGCUCAGGACGAACGCUGGCGGUGCGCUUUAUGCAUGCAAGUCGAGCGAAGCUUUUCAGUAGUUUACUACAGAAAAUGACUGAGCGGCGAACGGGUGAGUAACGCGUGAGCAAUCUACCUUAGUUACAGGGAUAGCCCGAGGAAACUCGGAUUAAUACCUGAUAUUCUUUAUUUCUCGCAUGAGAAUAAAAGGAAAGGUCAGCCGAACUAAGAUGAGCUCGCGUUCUAUCAGCUAGUUGGUGAGGUAAAAGCUCACCAAGGCUACGACGGAUAGCUGGUCUGAGAGGACGAUCAGCCACACUGGGACUGAGACACGGCCCAGACUCCUACGGGAGGCUGCAGCAGGGAAUAUUGUGCAAUGAACGAAAGUUUGACACAGCGACACCGCGUGUGGGAUGACGGAUCUAGGUUUGUAAACCACUUUCAGGAGGGAAGAAAAUGACGGUACCUCCAUAAGAAGCCCCGGCCAACUACGUGCCAGCAGCCGCGGUAAUACGUAGGGGGCGAGCGUUGUCCGGAUUUAUUGGGCGUAAAGAGCUCGUAGGCGGUUCAACAAGUCGGUCGUGAAAGUUCAGGGCUCAACCCUGAAAUGUCGAUCGAUACUGUUGUGACUAGGAUACGGUAGAGGUGAGUGGAAUUCCGAGUGUAGCGGUGAAAUGCGUAGAUAUUCGGAGGAACACCAAUUGCGAAGGCAGCUCACUGGGCCGCUAUCGACGCUGAGGAGCGAAAGCUAGGGGAGCAAACAGGAUUAGAUACCCUGGUAGUCCUAGCUGUAAACGAUGGAUACUAGACGUAGGAACUGGAUUGACGGUUUCUGUGUCGUAGCUAACGCGUUAAGCAUCCCGCCUGGGGAGUACGGUCGCAAGACUAAAACUCAAAGGAAUUGACGG